rnacentral:misc_RNA from 1 species
ACCUCCUUUCUAAGGAGCACCACGAGAAUCAGGCCCGCCCACAUCGUGUGGGGGUUCGGUGUCCUUGAUCGAUUCGUGAAGAUGGCCUGGUCUCUGUAGUGGAGCCGGGUCUGGUGCAAAUGGCAAACAUUAAGUGCUGCAACGGGAUCCGGGGUUUCUCCUGGGUUGUGGUGCGAACUCAGACACACUAUUGGGCUUUGAGACAACAGGCCCGUGUUUCCCUGGCCACUGCGUGUGGUGGGAGGCCUCGUUGUUGCCCUGCUUUGGUGGUGGGGUGUGGUGUUUGAU